rnacentral:ncRNA from 1 species
GGAACGGGACGGGGCCUUUGGGCAGGCCCUGAUGAAUGGUUCCGGCCCCCCUGUUUGGUGGCGGCCAGCGAGACCCGGCGCAGGCGGCC